UGGCAGUCAGAGGCGAUGAAGGACGUGCUAAUCUGCGAUAAGCGUCGGUGAGGUGAUAUGAACCGUUAUAACCGGCGAUUUCCGAAUGGGGAAACCCAGUGUGUUUCGACACACUAUCAUUAACUGAAUCCAUAGGUUAAUGAGGCGAACCGGGGGAACUGAAACAUCUAAGUACCCCGAGGAAAAGAAAUCAACCGAGAUUCCCCCAGUAGCGGCGAGCGAACGGGGAGGAGCCCAGAGCCUGAAUCAGUGUGUGUGUUAGUGGAAGCGUCUGGAAAGGCGUGCGAUACAGGGUGACAGCCCCGUACACAAAAAUGCACAUAUUGUGAGCUCGAUGAGUAGGGCGGGACACGUGGUAUCCUGUCUGAAUAUGGGGGGACCAUCCUCCAAGGCUAAAUACUCCUGACUGACCGAUAGUGAACCAGUACCGUGAGGGAAAGGCGAAAAGAACCCCGGCGAGGGGAGUGAAAAAGAACCUGAAACCGUGUACGUACAAGCAGUGGGAGCCUCUUAAUGGGGUGACUGCGUACCUUUUGUAUAAUGGGUCAGCGACUUAUAUUCUGUAGCAAGGUUAACCGAAUAGGGGAGCCGAAGGGAAACCGAGUCUUAACUGGGCGUUAAGUUGCAGGGUAUAGACCCGAAACCCGGUGAUCUAGCCAUGGGCAGGUUGAAGGUUGGGUAACACUAACUGGAGGACCGAACCGACUAAUGUUGAAAAAUUAGCGGAUGACUUGUGGCUGGGGGUGAAAGGCCAAUCAAACCGGGAGAUAGCUGGUUCUCCCCGAAAGCUAUUUAGGUAGCGCCUCGUGAAUUCAUCUCCGGGGGUAGAGCACUGUUUCGGCAAGGGGGUCAUCCCGACUUACCAACCCGAUGCAAACUGCGAAUACCGGAGAAUGUUAUCACGGGAGACACACGGCGGGUGCUAACGUCCGUCGUGAAGAGGGAAACAACCCAGACCGCCAGCUAAGGUCCCAAAGUCAUGGUUAAGUGGGAAACGAUGUGGGAAGGCCCAGACAGCCAGGAUGUUGGCUUAGAAGCAGCCAUCAUUUAAAGAAAGCGUAAUAGCUCACUGGUCGAGUCGGCCUGCGCGGAAGAUGUAACGGGGCUAAACCAUGCACCGAAGCUGCGGCAGCGACACUAUGUGUUGUUGGGUAGGGGAGCGUUCUGUAAGCCUGUGAAGGUGUGCUGUGAGGCAUGCUGGAGGUAUCAGAAGUGCGAAUGCUGACAUAAGUAACGAUAAAGCGGGUGAAAAGCCCGCUCGCCGGAAGACCAAGGGUUCCUGUCCAACGUUAAUCGGGGCAGGGUGAGUCGACCCCUAAGGCGAGGCCGAAAGGCGUAGUCGAUGGGAAACAGGUUAAUAUUCCUGUACUUGGUGUUACUGCGAAGGGGGGACGGAGAAGGCUAUGUUGGCCGGGCGACGGUUGUCCCGGUUUAAGCGUGUAGGCUGGUUUUCCAGGCAAAUCCGGAAAACCAAGGCUGAGGCGUGAUGACGAGGCACUACGGUGCUGAAGCGACAAAUGCCCUGCUUCCAGGAAAAGCCUCUAAGCAUCAGGUAACAUCAAAUCGUACCCCAAACCGACACAGGUGGUCAGGUAGAGAAUACCAAGGCGCUUGAGAGAACUCGGGUGAAGGAACUAGGCAAAAUGGUGCCGUAACUUCGGGAGAAGGCACGCUGAUAUGUAGGUGAAGCGACUUGCUCGUGGAGCUGAAAUCAGUCGAAGAUACCAGCUGGCUGCAACUGUUUAUUAAAAACACAGCACUGUGCAAACACGAAAGUGGACGUAUACGGUGUGACGCCUGCCCGGUGCCGGAAGGUUAAUUGAUGGGGUUAGCGGUAACGCGAAGCUCUUGAUCGAAGCCCCGGUAAACGGCGGCCGUAACUAUAACGGUCCUAAGGUAGCGAAAUUCCUUGUCGGGUAAGUUCCGACCUGCACGAAUGGCGUAAUGAUGGCCAGGCUGUCUCCACCCGAGACUCAGUGAAAUUGAACUCGCUGUGAAGAUGCAGUGUACCCGCGGCAAGACGGAAAGACCCCGUGAACCUUUACUAUAGCUUGACACUGAACAUUGAGCCUUGAUGUGUAGGAUAGGUGGGAGGCUUUGAAGUGUGGACGCCAGUCUGCAUGGAGCCGACCUUGAAAUACCACCCUUUAAUGUUUGAUGUUCUAACGUUGGCCCGUAAUCCGGGUUGCGGACAGUGUCUGGUGGGUAGUUUGACUGGGGCGGUCUCCUCCUAAAGAGUAACGGAGGAGCACGAAGGUUGGCUAAUCCUGGUCGGACAUCAGGAGGUUAGUGCAAUGGCAUAAGCCAGCUUGACUGCGAGCGUGACGGCGCGAGCAGGUGCGAAAGCAGGUCAUAGUGAUCCGGUGGUUCUGAAUGGAAGGGCCAUCGCUCAACGGAUAAAAGGUACUCCGGGGAUAACAGGCUGAUACCGCCCAAGAGUUCAUAUCGACGGCGGUGUUUGGCACCUCGAUGUCGGCUCAUCACAUCCUGGGGCUGAAGUAGGUCCCAAGGGUAUGGCUGUUCGCCAUUUAAAGUGGUACGCGAGCUGGGUUUAGAACGUCGUGAGACAGUUCGGUCCCUAUCUGCCGUGGGCGCUGGAGAACUGAGGGGGGCUGCUCCUAGUACGAGAGGACCGGAGUGGACGCAUCACUGGUGUUCGGGUUGUCAUGCCAAUGGCACUGCCCGGUAGCUAAAUGCGGAAGAGAUAAGUGCUGAAAGCAUCUAAGCACGAAACUUGCCCCGAGAUGAGUUCUCCCUGAGACUUAGAGUCUCCUGAAGGAACGUUGAAGACGACGACGUUGAUAGGCCGGGUGUGUAAGCGCAGCGAUGCGUUGAGCUAACCGGUACUAAUGAACCGUGAGGCUUAACCUU
rnacentral:rRNA from 1 species